GUGGUCACUGGGUCUGUGAGCAGUUCAAGGAGCAGUGAGAUGUCAUCAUCAAAGGAUCGACCAUUAUCAGCCAGAGAGAGGAGGCGACUAAAGCAGUCACAGGAAGAAAUGUCCUCUUCAGGCCCUUCAGUGAGGAAAGCGUCUCUGAGUGUAGCAGGGCCAGGAAAACCCCAGGAAGAAGACCAGCCCUUGCCUGCCCGACGGCUCUCCUCUGACUGCAGCGUCACUCAGGUGCAUUACGUACUCCUAAGAGAGAAGGUGGACAGUCUACAUCUGGCAGGCCUAAUGCAGUAAACCUUUUAAAUGUCAGCUCCAUUUAUUUUUGGGACAGGGCCAGCUUGUUAUAUCUUUUCAC
rnacentral:lncRNA from 1 species